CACAAUGAGAACAAAGGAGCGGUGGUAGCCUCGGGAGAAGCACAGUUCUCACAAGCGUUAAAUCCAGGGCAGGCGUUUGAUCUGAGGUGAGUCCUCUCUCAAUGCUGACUAGCAUUAAGGAGCCAUCUCCUUAAUAAAGUAACUCAGAGCGUUGUGAUCAGGAGCUAUCUUCAAAGGGGGUCUAUUGUUUGAGAAAACUCUGGAGACCAGAAAAUGCAGGCAGGUGACCAGUCAGCGUGCCUGGGGACACUCUGCCCUAGCGACUGUCCAGGAGAAAGCACUGUAAGAAGACGGGACGACAGAUCCACUGAGAAGUUCUAGUAACCCGGAGCCUGAGCUGUGGAAGACUCAGUGAUCAGAAGUCCUGACCCCUGGUGGCGAGGACUGUGACCUGUAGCUUGUGACCUGCCUAGACUGAGGCCUCCAAGCCUGCUGCUGCAGAUUUCUGGAAAAUCAAGGCAGUCUGAUUGAUGGGCAAACAAGGUGGGUGAACUUUGCCAUCCCGUGGACUGCAGACUGAGGCUCUCUGGAGUGAAUGGGAACCUGUCCAGCUACAGAAUGUAGACCGCAGCGUGGGGCUCAAAGGCCCCACAAACACAAAGGAAGAAAGCCUCUAGACUUUUUUUUUCUUAGAGCCUAGCUUAAACACCGCCCGGAAGCAGGCAACGCGUCCUCCACACCAGUCUGCUUAGCAGGAGCAAACGCAAACCCACUGCUCUCUCCACACAGACCUGGAAACGCGCUUCUGUCUCCCUUUUGAUUUCCCUUCCGUUUAAAACUAUUACUUCAUUACUCAGGCAAAUAGAACCGUCUAAUUCUUGACAGAGAUAUCAAAAACACAUAUUAAAAAAUAAAACUUUAAGCAUUUUUACUGGGAAAACUGGAUAUCCACAUGUAGAAGAAUAAAAGCAGAAACCUAUAUCUUAUCCUGUGUAAAAAGAAAGAAACCUCAAAAUGUUAUCUAUUCUAUCGUCCCAUUACUAUCCUAUCUCCCUUUUCUGUUCAAAGGGGUUAAAAAUUAACUAGUCUAUAAAAGUUACAGCCCUGUAUUAAAGGAAAUCAUUUAUUCUGAGCCAUCGACGAUGACUGAUCCUGGCUCAGGAACAUGGAUUUGGGUUAUCCUAAAGAUGCAGGCAAAGGACAGAGGAAGUCGUAAACCAGUACAUUCGACAAUUAUUAGUUAAUUACUGCAGGGAGGGGUGGGUCAGAACGUGGGGUUUUGUUUUACGCGUCCUCUCUUCUUGCACUCAAGGCACAUGGCCCGCUUCUUUGGAAUACUAGUCACAGAUUUAUGAAGAUGAUGGCAUAAGGCAGAGCUCCCUGAAGAAGCUGUGUGCUAUCCACUAUCUCACACACUCUUCUCUUGGCUGAGUAAAGUAUUGUGAUUGGGAAGAGGUGUAAGGUCAAGAGCCAAAUUAUCUCAGACUGCCUUGGGCUUUUUGUGUAAGCAGCCAUUUCCUGUUAAUGGUAUCUGAUCUGAUGCCCUCAGAAUGUUUUGUUUACGAUUCGUGCAAUGCUAAGGGGCUGUAAGAUAGCAUACAAAACCUACAAGAAAGAUUUCCUCAUUUUUCUGUAUCUACUGUUCGUUGAAUGUGUUGCUUAUGACUAAUGCAGCUGUUGAAUGCAUUGGUUUAUGACUUCCUUUGUCCUUUGCCUGCAAACCUUUAUGUAACUACUUUGAUUUAGGAUUGAAUUAGUCUGGGUAACCUGAAUCCAUGCUACUAUUGCUGGCUUAGAAUAACUGAUUUUCUUUAAAAAAACAGACCUGUAACUUUUACAGAAUAGUUAAUUUUUAACCAUUAUGUGGGGGAUCAUGAGGCUAGGUAAACAUAUUAAGGAUAGGCUUUCAGUUGGACAGAAAAUAGUUUAAAUAGUAGCCUGUACCAUUAGGAAACAAGGUAAUACAAGCAUAAUGAACAUUGCCCUUCUGAGCUGUUUCAAAAACAGUGAUUGGUUUUGUUUGCUCUUUCACCCAAAGGUACACGUGUCCUAGAAACAACAUUUUUCUGGUUAUAGAAAUUGCCUUUUAAAUAAAUCUGUUUGUUGCAGUCUAUAGCCUAUCUUCUUGGAGAGUUAGAAUUCACAUUGUAGCAUAGUAAAGACACCAUGGCCCCCAGCUGAAGUGUUGUGCCUGGCUUUGCUUUUCUGUUUUCAGGGACUAUCAUAGCCUUCUGUGCCUUUGUUACUCCCAUGGGCUAGCCUGAGAAAACACAUGUGGAAGAACUCUUCUCUAAAGGGCCAUUUGCUUGCAUGAUUGAACAAGAUAGAAACUAAGAGAUAAAUGUUGAUGUUGGAGACAUCAAUGUGGAAAAUCAGAUUCAUAUUACAAUUACAAAAUCUAAGUUUGUCAGCACUCUAGCUGAGUUUCCUUGUACCUGGCCCUGAAGCAGUAAUAGUUGUUAUCACCUUUGACACAUUUACCUUUCUGAAGAAUAGAAAUAUUUUCUGUUAUUACUCCAUGUGUUGGGGUCUUGGACUGAAUAAAAAUGAGCUGAACACUAAUAUUCACAGCUUUCUCUUUGCUGGGUGUGGAUACCAUGUGACCAGCUACGUUAGUGUUCCCACCAUGAUGGGCUCUAUGGACUAUCAGCCAAAAUAAACCUUGUCCUCUUA